GUGCUCCCUUAGAGCUGCUUGUGCUCUAAGGGGCAACACAGGAGGGAAUAACAUUCCUCUCUUAAACCCAGAGCUGAGGCUAAAAACUCUCCUCUGGAUCCUGUCGGGAGGCACACUG
rnacentral:snoRNA from 13 species